rnacentral:piRNA from 1 species
UAUGAGAAUUUGGACUAAUUGCACC